ensembl:lncRNA
ACCUCCCUCCAUGUAGCUUCAGGCAAAGCUGACUGUACCCCUCAGACCCCACCAGCAAUCCUGUGAGAUGAAUAUCAUUGUUAUGUGAUUCUACAGUUGAGGAAACUAAAUCUUGGGGAGAUUAAAUAAUUGGUCAGAAUCAGCUGCUCAUUAAGUGACUAUUUUGCAGCCACGGAAGAGAGACAUGAUAAUCCUGGAACACUCCCCAUGGCAGGGGUAACAUCAUUGCCAGUGGGGAGUUCUCACCACCAGGGAAAUUAGGCUGUCAGCUGGGGACUUGGAGGCUGAGCAGGCAAUCAAGGCUCAGAAAAUCAAGCAACUGACCAAAAGUCACACGGCAAGGAGGUGGCAGAGCUGGAACUGAAGUUUUGGACUCCAGGGGCUAUUUCCCUGCACUCCUUGGC